AACAAACUUACCCCUCUCAACAGCCCUUUUAAUAUAUGUAUGAGGUUGUAUAUAUAUAUAUAUGUAUAUAUGUAUGUAUAAUGUAUUGUUUAGCCCAGAAUUGAAGAAUGAGACGUCUCAGAGAGAGAUGGGAUUUUCUGUAAAGGUUGGUUGCCCUUCUCUGUGAUGUCCAUGAUUUCUUCUCCAUUCAUGAAAAUCAACAACCCUUUGAGAAAAAAAAAAAAAAAAAAAAAAAAAAUGUCAAAAGGGACUAUAUGAUCUUGAGCUCUUCCUUUUCUGCUUCUGCUGCUAGUACAGCUGAUAUUCACAAAUAGCCACUUUUAUGUCCCUGUAAAAUACAAGGUAGAAAUGACACAAUAAGGUAGCUGCUUUGAUGGGUGAUUUACAAGAAUAUCCUUCAUUGGUGUAAUUCCAUGCUUUUAAUGGUGCUAAGGGCACAAGAGAACUGAUGUUGAUUGAUAUGAAAAAAUGGGCUGUGAUUAUGAUUUGCUUCUUUCUGGGCUAAUAAUCUACUUUACUGCGUUGAGAAAAUCCGACCUGUAUCUUGGCGGGUCACCUGGUAUGGCAUCCAUUUGCAAACCGGUGUCUGAAGCCAUGGCGUGUGUUGCUUUCUCUUUGCAUGUUCUUAUACCGCAAAUUCUGAGUCCUAAAAGUUUUAGCUAAAAAUGAGGCAUUUGGAGAAAAAUUAGGAUUUUUCAGGGUGGUUCACCAUCUUCGGUAUGCCAAUGAUUUUUUCUUAGCUCUAAUCAACAACCCUUUUCGCAGAUGUAUGUUGUGUCUCUGUAUAUAUACACACACACACCUGUCCUCUAUCUGUGACUGUUUUGCUCCUGCGUGGCUGGUUUUUCAGGCAAAGUACAUAGAAAAAUGGAGGUUCAGUCUAUAGUAUGAAGAACGGAAAAGGGCCAAAUAUACCCCUGUACUACGAAAAUGAGGCCACAGAGAAAAGGGAAUUCUUGGAGGGUGGUUGCCCCCUCUGUUUGGCCUAUGAUUUCACCAUAAACAAAAUCAACAACCCUCUUCAGAAAGUUGCGGGGGAGUUGUUUGAGUGGUUGCCCCUCUCUCAUUCUUAGCAGCCAAUGAUCACUCAAAAUUUCCCAAUUUCAAACCGCUCUUUAGCAAAAUAAUUUCAAUAAGGCAGUGAUGAUUUUCAUUCUUUACUCAUCAGAUGGUUGAGCCUUGCUACAUCUUGGCGUGGCAGCUUUUGGGCGUCUUAUGGAAUAUUGGAGCUAUUUUGGUUUCUGUGUCUCACAAAGGCUCCUUAAGCUUGCAGCCAUGGCGGGUUUAGCUUAUGUCCGAGAGAAGGCAAAUCUGAGCCUCCUAAAUAUCUUUUAAUGUUCAAAAUGAGGCUUUUAUGGAACUUGAGGAAUGUUGAGAUUUUCUAAGGGUGUUACUCCCUUCCUCUGAAGUUCAAUUUAGCCAGUGAAAAUCCCUAUACCUAUGUUACACAGAAAGCUUAACAGCCCUUUCAUCGACAGAAAUGCCAAUUAUGGUAAUGAGGAUAGCCAUGUUUAUGGUAGUAAUAAGGAAAAGGCCAAAUACAUAGAUACCCCUUAAACUUGGCACAUUUUGUCGGUUAGUUUGCCUCUUAACUUGUCCGGGGAAAUCCUUUUGUACUUGGAUCCUAAACCCUAAACUUUGUGAACGAGGCUGUGAUGAUAUUCCCAAGGAAGCUUGAAAAUCAGAUUUUUGAGCUGAUUCGUAUCUUGGCUAGGCAAAGGCAGGGGAAUUGAGGUCGGUUCUUAUGUGCCUCUCACAAAGGCAUCUGCUUCUUGCAGCCCUGGUGGAUUAGCCAUUCUUCUGACAGAUUUAAAGCAAAUCUGAGCCUCUUUUGUGUUAAAAAAAAUGAGGCUUUCUAUAGAACUCAAGAAAGGUUGAAAUUUUCUGAGGGUGGUUACUCUCUUUCUCUGAAGUUCAAUUUAGCCAACUGAGCCUAUGCUUCUGUUAUAAAGAGAAAGUUUAACAGCCCUUCAUCAGUAAAUUGACAAUUAUGUUCUUGAUGGUGAUGAUGAUGAUGAUAGCCAUGGUUAUGGUGGAAAAUACAUUUUCGUCCCCCUUAAACUUUUCUGCUAAACCUGAACCCUAAACCCUAAACUUUGUGAAUGAGGCUGUGAUGAUACUCCCAAGGAAGCUUGAAAAUCAGAUUUUUGAGCUGAUUCGUAUCUUGGCUAGGCAAAGGCAGGGGAAUUUGUGAGGUUGGUUCUUAUGUGCUCUCACAAAGGCGUCUGCUUUUUGCAGCCAUGGUGGAGUAGCCCUUUUUCUGAUUUACUUUUAGGCUAAUCUGAGCCGCUUUUCUGUUAAGUUUAGUUCUACUAUGAGUGGUCCUAUCGUUUCAUUCUGUUCAUGUUCUUUCUUCUGGUUUUGAAGAAUCCCAUUUUUAAAAGAAUUUUCUAUGUAUUCAUCUCCACAUGUUCCUAGAGAGAAAUUAUUAGGUACUGAUAUGAAAUAAGUCCAAAGCUUUUAUGUAUGUGGAUUUAUGUACUGUCUGAGGCUAAUUGUUGCUUAAUUUAUCUUGCGAAAUAUUCAAACUUUCAUGCCUUGUUUUAAUCUUCAAAAAUCCCAAGUUUCAGAGGCAAUGAAGAUUAUUCACAAUGAUAAAAGAUUUAGAGUUUAUUCAUGGCUUGGCUUGGCAAGACCAAUCGGAAGGUCUUUCUUAUAAGGCAACAGAUGAUUGCAGCCAUGGCAGUGUUAACUCUGCUCUUUCCUUUGAUUAAAUAGGCGAAAAUCUGAGCCUCAUCUUUGGUUUAU